UACAGAGGUGGCAAGCGUUGUUCGGAAUUACUGGGCGUAAAGGGCGCGUAGGCGGUUCGUUAAGUCCUGUGUGAAAUCCCCCGGCUCAACCGGGGAAGGGGCGCCGAUACGACCGGCCUGGAGGGGCGUAGGGGGAUCGGGAACUUCCGGUGGAGCGGUGAAAUGCGUUGAGAUCGGAAGGAACGCCCGUGGCGAAAGCGCGGUCCUGGACGCCUGCUGACGCUGAGACGCGAAAGCCAGGGGAGCGAACGGG
rnacentral:rRNA from 1 species